rnacentral:rRNA from 1 species
GACGAACGCUGGCGGCGUGCUUAACACAUGCAAGUCGAACGGAAAGGCCCUGCUUGCAGGGUGCUCGAGUGGCGAACGGGUGAGUAACACGUGGGUGAUCUGCCCCUUACUUUGGGAUAAGCUUGGGAAACUGGGUCUAAUACUGGAUAGGACCAUGCUGUAGGUGGUGUGGUGGAAAGAUUAGUUUCGGUAAGGGAUGAGCUCGUGGCCUAUCAGCUUGUUGGUGGGGUAAUGGCCUACCAAGGCGUCGACGGGUAGCCGGCCUGAGAGGGUGGACGGCCACAUUGGGACUGAGAUACGGCCCAGACUCCUACGGGAGGCAGCAGUGGGGAAUAUUGCACAAUGGGCGCAAGCCUGAUGCAGCGACGCCGCGUGGGGGAUGACGGCCUUCGGGUUGUAAACUCCUUUCAGCCAUGACGAAGCCCUUGUGGUGACGGUAGUGGUAGAAGAAGCACCGGCUAACUACGUG